rnacentral:rRNA from 1 species
CCUACGGGAGGCAGCAGUAAGGAAUAUUGGUCAAUGGACGAAAGUCUGAACCAGCCAUGCCGCGUGAAGGAUGAAGGUCCUCUGGAUUGUAAACUUCUUUUAUCUGGGACGAAAAAAGGGCUUUCUAGCUCACUUGACGGUACCAGAGGAAUAAGCACCGGCUAACUCCGUGCCAGCAGCCGCGGUAAUACGGAGGGUGCAAGCGUUAUCCGGAUUUACUGGGUUUAAAGGGAGCGUAGGUGGGCAGGUAAGUCAGUGGUGAAAUCUCUGGGCUUAACCCGGAAACUGCCAUUGAUACUAUCUGUCUUGAAUAUCCUGGAGGUAAGCGGAAUAUGUCAUGUAGCGGUGAAAUGCUUAGAUAUGACAUAGAACACCCAUUGCGAAGGCAGCUUACUACGGGAUUAUUGACACUGAGGCUCGAAAGCGUGGGGAUCAAACAGGAUUAGAUACCCUGGUAGUCCACGCCCUAAACGAUGGAUACUCGACAUCAGCGAUACACUGUUGGUGUCUGAGCGAAAGCAUUAAGUAUCCCACCUGGGAAGUACGACCGCAAGGUUGAAACUUAAAGGAAUUGACGG